rnacentral:sRNA from 1 species
CCCGGGAGGCACGCAGGCAGCUUCCCCUCCAGCUCCAGGCUGACGCGCUGCUGGCAGCCCACCCUGCGGUCCCAGUGGGGGACCCUGGGAAGUGGUCCCCACCAGGCCUGGCCUCAUCUCACCCUCUUUGCAGGGUAAAAAGAUUGUAGGUAGGAAGAAGGCAUGUGGAGAAUCCACUGCCCUGCCUAAGGACACAACCAGCCACAGGGACAAGGACUGCUCCCACGAUGGUGCUCCUGCCAGGCCCCAGCUGGACGGGGAGUCCUCUGGGUCCCAGGCAUUGAACAGCCACAUGCCUGCUGAGACCGAGGAGCUGGAUGGUGGGACCACAGAGAGCAACCUGAUCACCUCCCUGCUUGGGCUGUGCCAGAGCAAGAAGAGUCGGGUGGCCUUGAAGGCCCAGGAGAACCUGCUGCUCCUGGUGAGCAUGG